GCCUGUUGACUGAUGCUGUGUUUCUGCAGGGGAGACUGCUGUACUGUCAGCCCCAUCCCUGUCUGGAUGCUGCACACUCCCAAGCCACACCCACCCUGGAGGAAGGCGGAAUCACCCACCCUGGGCGGCAGGGGAGUGAGGGGGAUCUCAAGCUGAAGGCCAAAAUGUCUGCCCACUCGAAAGGUGUCUGCGGAGUCGUCACUAAACCUCUUGAAUAGUUUAAAGCAGCUUAAACCAAACGCGCUCAUUGUGUUGAUGGGUUUCAUUAUAGUGGCAAACAUCUGACAGGCAUCUUUUGUCCUUACAGGCGGUAGAGUUGCCCCCAGGCCUACCAGAAACCUUGGAAAGGCCUGGAAAGUUCUGUCAAGACCACUGAUCACUGGUUUGCCUGUUACGGAGUUGACAAUGUUUACUGCACUGUGUUAU